UCGAACGCGUUCGUUCAAGUGUGUCGAAUGCGCCGCCGCGCAAUAAAUAAACUAUCGCGUUAUACGGCGUGUCGAAAUUUUGUUUGGAAUUACUGUUAAAUUCGAUUUUUCGGGUAUUAGUCAUGAAGUAGCUGUAGUUUGCCAUAAUGUUAUUGCCAUGUACAAAAUGUAAGCAAAUACAAAAACCCGUUUGAGUAUGAAGCGUUGGGAGAUCGUGUUUAUCGAUUUGUUCUUUUUAUUUAAAAACCUUAUUCAAAUAGAAUGGAAAUUAAAACAGUUAGAAAUGUAAAAUAUAAAAGUAAAUAGAUAUUGCAACACAAACACGCGUUGCGAGUAAUAGUACGUUCUACCACGUCGCCUGAACCAAAUGUGACUGCAGAGAACAGUCGAGGAACUAACGGUGAGCGAAAAGGCAAGGUUACAGGAAAAAGCGCACACGUGGGUUCACCGAGUCGUGACGGUAUAAAUCACGGAAAACAAUAGCGGGGACGGAUUGAGAACGAAUAAAGAACAUAGUUAAAUUGAUUAUAAAUGAAACACCACAGAACUCCCCCCCAGUGAGUCGGGGAACGAAAAAAAUACAAAACAAGCACUACAUUUACGAACAUUUAUAAGAAGUAAAAUGUUUGGGAAACUUCACAACUCGCCCAGAUCGAGUUACAACAACUGGGACGGUGGACUUGGUUACAUUGUGUUUUACCGUUACAGGUGCAGGUACUUGGAAAGGUGGUGUCGAAUCCGUUGGAAAAACCAGGGAGUUAUUUUCAUAAAAGGCAGGUUUUAAACGGUCGAUCGUUAUUGUUUGUUUGCGUCCGUUAACUUCCAAGGUGUAAUGUUUGUCAUUGCGUUUUAAAAUUUUAUAUGGCCCCUUAUAGGGUUGUUGCAAUGGACGUUUUACGGCAUCAACGCGAACAAAACAAUAUGAACAUGAACUUAACAUUUUGGGAAAAUAAACAUGUCGAACCGAAUGAUCCGAAGUUUUGGUAGCACGUAGUUGACAUAUGGAACGACGCAAUUGCGAAAUAAACAAAGUUGGGUCAGUAUCGGGAGCAUUAACUGAAGAAAAGAAUUCGCCAGGUAAACAUAGCACGGUGCCGUAUACCAACUCAGCCGCCGUCGAC